rnacentral:sRNA from 1 species
AAAUUGCGGUAGCUCCUCUCCUCCUCCCUGGGGCUGCCGCACAAAAUUCCGGGCCCACGGCCCAACAGACAGCAAGACGUUCUCUCCUCCUCCCUGAACGUUUUGCCGAAAAGAACGGCGGCGCUCUCCUCCCUUGCGUCGCCGUUUUUCU